CUCGGGAAUGCGGUAUGGCGGCUGCCGUAGUGGCGUCUCUCCCUGGGUAUCUACCCGGUGUACCGCAGCGGAGGUAUAGCCUGGGAUGGCAGAAAACAUGCCCUGGUAUUCCCGGAGUAAGCCGGACGCUUCCUGUCGCUCUAUAGGUUGUAGGUUCUGACCAAGACUAACCUGGUCAAUACUGCAGGGAGAGGAGUCUAACAGAUCGGGGAGUGGGAGUCCCUCGCUAUCUUUGGAAGAGGGGCCGACGUCUUCUGUCCGUUCAUAGUAAGGCUUCAGCAUGUUUACAUGGAAGACUUUGGUCAGUCUCUCAUCUGAACAUUUACUUACAAUGUAGGUGGUAUCGCUCAUUCGCUCCACCACCUUGAAGGGUCCCUGCCAGGCCGCCUGGAGCUUAUCCCUUUUGGCGGGUCUCAACGCUAAUACUUUUUGGCCCAAGUCUAGGACUCUGUCUCGGGCACCCCUGUUGUAGCACCUCUUUUGGCAGUCCUGGGCCGCCUGCAGGUUCUCCCGAACUGAUUCGGUGAGAGUUUGCAGCGGGUCG